rnacentral:rRNA from 1 species
GAUGAACGCUAGCUACAGGCUUAACACAUGCAAGUCGAGGGGCAGCAUUUUAGUUUGCUUGCAAACUAAAGAUGGCGACCGGCGCACGGGUGAGUAACACGUAUCCAACCUGCCGAUAACUCGGGGAUAGCCUUUCGAAAGAAAGAUUAAUAUCCGAUAGUAUAUUAAAACCGCAUGGUUUACUAUUAAAGAAUUUCGGUUAUCGAUGGGGAUGCGUUCCAUUAGUUUGUUGGCGGGGUAACGGCCCACCAAGGCGACGAUCAGUAGCCGGACUGAGAGGUUGAACGGCCACAUUGGGACUGAGACACGGCCCAG